AGUGAACGCUGGCGGUAGGCCUAACACAUGCAAGUCGAACGGCAGCACAGUAAGAGCUUGCUCUUACGGGUGGCGAGUGGCGGACGGGAGAGGAAUACAUCGGACUCUACUUUUUCGUGGGGGAUAAGGUAGGGAAACUUACGCUAAUAUCGCAUACGCCCUACGGGUGAGAGCAGGGGAUAUUCGGACCUUGUGCGAUUGAAUGAGCCGCUGUCGGAUUAGCUAGUUGGCGGGGUAAAGGCCCACCAAGGCGCCGAUCCGUAGCUGGUCUGAGAGGAGGGUCAGCCGCCCUGGAAGGUGGACACGGUCCAUGCGCCUACGAGAGGCAGCAGUGGGGAAUAUUGGACAAUGGGCGCAAGCCUUAUCCAGCCGGACCGCGUGUGUUAAAAAGGCCUUCGGUUUGUAAAGCCCGUUUUUUGGGAAAGAAAAGCAGCAGCUUGAGACCCCGCUGUUCUGACGGUACCCAAAAAAUAAGCACCGGCUAACUUCGUG
rnacentral:rRNA from 1 species